rnacentral:lncRNA from 1 species
CGUUUUCUGUUGUAAUCUGUAAUCUGGAAAUUCAACACGGACAAUGGUACUGUGCACGAAGAACGAAGAUUGCUGGAGCUAUCUGUCCAGAUUCCGGCGAGCCUCUGCCCGAAGGAGAACGGAUGCCGAUCCAAACUUUCCGGGCGACCAGCGGGAGCCCGGCACCGGAAUCAGGCUGUCGCUGCCGCGCCUCUGGCGGGCGUCGCCGUUUCUGACGCGCACUAGGCCGUCUGAAUCGCAUCUCCUUCUGUUUUGGCUGAAUUUCAGCCGCUGCCAGAUCCGCUCAACGGCGUCGAGGGUUGGGGUCGCUCCGGCAACCCCUACCUGCUCGACGACCGUGCAACGAGGGUAGAUGGUAGGGCAGAUGGCGGAGCCAUGAGUCGCGGCGGUGGUGGCGACUGGCUUGACCGGCGGCGCAGAUUGAGUUUUGAUGGGGUGCAGGCGCGGGUCGGAGAGGAGGCUCACCGGAGCAGCCGCGAUGGCUGACGACGGCGCCUGAUUUCGGCGUGUGCUGGUGCUGCUCGACGUUUGUGCUGCGUGGCGGGGAAGAGGCUGUGCAGCGGCGCUCUGGCGGCGCGCAACCCUAGGCGGCGCUUGGUUCUCUGCAAGCCCUAGCAGAUGAACAGUGUCUGCGUUUUGGGCUGCUGAACGGGCCUAGGCGACUGGACCGCGAUUUUGGGCCGAUUGCUUGGGCCUAAGAUCAGGCCUGGGCGGUGUUCUCUUCAUGGGCUGAGUUUGAGGGCUUCUAUCAGCCCAAAUUUCGAGCUCUUGGCUGUUUUUCAGCCUAUUUUUUUCUUUUCUAUUGUUUUAAUGUAAUAGAUUAGAAAUUGGGAUUCCACGAAUGGGCCGCGAAGAAUUUUUCUUUAUUGUUCUCAGCAUGUCGUGGGAUUUUAUCACCGUUAUGGUGUUUUGAGCAUGAUUUUUAUUUGCUUUAUGUGAAU